rnacentral:rRNA from 1 species
AUGUCUUCCAGCUCGGCACCGGUCGUCCUCAACCUCGGACCUCCACCAGCGGAAAAGCUUAGCAAGGGGAACUACCUCUUGUGGAAGGCCCAGGUCAUGCCCGGCCUGCGAGGAGCGCAGGUCACGGGGCUCCUGGAUGGGACCGACGCGGCGCCCCCGACCACGGUGGAGCAGCAGAAGUCGGACACGACCAUGGAAGUGGUACCCAAUCCACUUUAUGCGCCAUGGCUAUCAAAGGACCAACAGGUCCUCAGCUACCUGAUGAACUCCCUCUCCAAAGAAGUCCUCACGCAGUUCGUCGGUAAGGAAAAUACCUAUGAUUUGUGGACCGGCAUCACCACCCUGUUUGCAUCGCAGUCCCAAUCCCGCAUCACCAACUUGAGGAUCGCCAUCACCACGACAAAGAAAGGCAGCAUGUCCAGCACGGCAUACAUCUCCAAGAUGAAGAGUCUCGGGGAUGAACUCGCAGCGGCAGGACGUCCGGUCUCCGAUCCCGAGAUGGUGGACUACGUGCUCGCCGGAUUGAAUCGCGACUAUGAUCUGGUGGUGGCGGCCAUUGGUGCUGUCAAGACCUCCAUCAACAUUGACGAGCUCUUUGCUCAGAUCGCCGCCUUUGACCAGCGCAUGGAGAUGCUGGGCGAUGGAGAAGAAGGCGGCUUCAAUACUUCAGCGAACCUGGCGUACAGAGGCCGCGGCCAGUACAGGUCCAGGGCACGCGCACGUGGGACCAGGGGGCGCGGUCGAGGGAGGCGCUCUCCCUCUGCUCCAAGCAGCAGCAACAGGGGCGCUCGAGGUGGCCGUCCCCAACAACAGAAUCAGCAGCGUCAACAGAACCGGGAUUAUCCCGAGUGCCAGAUCUGUCUCAAGCAUCAUCGAGGAGGCGCUCGUGCAUGCUGGGAUCGUUAUGAGGAGGACGAGGAGUACGAGGAGAAGGAGGCAAACGCUGUCACCGACUCCUACGGCAUCGACACAAAUUGGUAUGCGGAUACUGGUGCUACCAACCACAUCACGGGGGAACUCGACAAGCUGACCAUCAGGAACAAAUACCGUGGACAUGACCAAGUGCACACUGCAAGUGGUUCUGGACUUGGACACGAGGAGGGUUCUUCUUAG